AGUUCGAUCAUGUGGGUGAACGCUGGCGCGGGAUGUUUACGCUGCAAGUCGAACGGCAGCACGGACUUCGGUCUGGUGGCGAGUGGCGAACGGGUGAGUAAUGUAUCGGAACGUGCCUAGUAGCGGGGAUAACUACGCGAAAGCGUAGCUAAUGCCACAUACGCCCUUCGGGGGAAAGCGGGGACCUUCGGGCACUCUCUUUAUUAGAGCGGCCGAUAUCGGAUUAGCUAGUUGGUGGGGUAACGGCUCACCAAGGCGACGAUCGUAGCUGGUUUGAGAGGACGACCAGCCACGCAGGACUGAGACACGGCCCAGACUCCUGCGGGAGGCAGCGGUGAUGGAGAAUUUUGGACAAUGGGGAAACCUGAAUCCAGCCAUCCGCGUGUGCGAUGAAGGCCUUCGGGUUGUAAAGCACUUUUGGCAGAAAGAAACGGCACGGGAUAAUACCCCGUGCAACUGACGGUACCUGCAGAAUGGCACCGGCUAACUACGUGCCAGCAGCCGCGGUAAUACGGCAGGGUGCAAGCGUUAAUCGGAAUUACUGGGCGUAAAGCGUGCGCAGGCGGUUCGGAAAGAAGAUCUUGAAAUCCCAGAGCUUAACUUUGGAACUGCAUUUUUAACUACCGAGCUAGAGAGUGUGUCAGAGGUGGAAUUCGUGUAGCAGUGAAAUGCGUAGAUAUGCGGAGGAACACCGAUAGCGAGAGCAGCCUCCUGGGAUAACACUGACGCUCAUGCACGAAAGCGUGGGGAGCAAACAGGAUUAGAUACCCUGGUAGUCCACGCCCUAAACGAUGUCAACUAGCUGUUGGGGCCUUCGGGCCUUGGUAGCGCAACUAACGCGUGAAGUUGACCGCCUGGGAAAUACGGUCGCAAGAUUAAACUCAAAGGAAUUGACGGGGACCCGCACAAGCGGUGGAUGAUGUGGAUUAAUUCGAUACGAAAAACCUUACCUACCACUUGACAUGUCUGGAAUCGAAGAGAUUUGGGAGUGCUCGCAAGAGAACCGGAACACAGGUGCUGCAUGGCUGUCGUCAGCUCGUGUCGUGAGAUGUUGGGUUAAGUCCCGCAACGAGCGCAACCCUUGUCAUUGAAUUGCUACGAAAAGGGCACUCUAAUGAGACUGCCGGUGACAAACCGGAGGAAGGUGGGGAUGACGUCAAGUCCUCAUGGCCCUUAUGGGUAGGGCUUCACACGUCCUUUACAAUGGUCGGGACAGAGGUCACCAACCCGCGAGGGGAGCCAAUCCCAGAAGCGAUCACGUAGUCCGGAUCGCAGUCUGCAACUCGACUGCGCGUGAAGUCGGAAUCGCUAAUCGCGGAUCAGCAUGUCGCGGUGAAUACGUCCCAGGUCUUGUACACACCGCCCGUCACACCAUGGGAGUGGGCUUUACCAGAAGUAGUUAGCCUAACCGUAAGGAGGGCUGAUUACCACGGUAGGAUUCAUGACUGGGGUGAAAUUCGCGUAACAAAGGUAA
rnacentral:rRNA from 1 species